rnacentral:rRNA from 1 species
GAUGAACGCUAGCGGCAGGCCUAAUACAUGCAAGUCGAACGAUACUUUCCAGCUUGCUGGAAAGGAAAGUGGCGCACGGGUGCGUAACGCGUAUGCAACCUACCUUAAUCAGGGGGAUAGCCCGAAGAAAUUCGGAUUAACACCGCAUAAAAUCACAGUACAGCAUUGUACAAUGAUCAAAUAUUUAUAGGAUUAAGAUGGGCAUGCGUGACAUUAGCUAGUUGGCGGGGUAACGGCCCACCAAGGCGACGAUGUCUAGGGGAUCUGAGAGGAUGACCCCCCACACUGGUACUGAGGCACGGACCAGACUCCUACGGGAGGCAGCAGUAAGGAAUAUUGGUAAAUGGAGGCAACUCUGAACCAGCCAUGCCGCGUGCAGGAAGACAGCCCUCUGGGUCGUAAACUGCUUUUAUUCGGGAAUAAACCUACUUACGUGUAAGUAGCUGAAUGUACCGAAGGAAUAAGGAUCGGCUAACUCCGUGCCAGCCGCCGCGGUAA